UUUUUUUUUUUUUUUUUUUUUUUUUUUUUCAA
rnacentral:ribozyme from 1 species